rnacentral:rRNA from 1 species
GAUGAACGCUGGCGGCGUGCCUAAUACAUGCAAGUCGAGCGAACAGACGAGGAGCUUGCUCCUCUGACGUUAGCGGCGGACGGGUGAGUAACACGUGGAUAACCUACCUAUAAGACUGGGAUAACUUCGGGAAACCGGAGCUAAUACCGGAUAAUAUAUUGAACCGCAUGGUUCAAUAGUGAAAGACGGUUUUGCUGUCACUUAUAGCUGGAUCCGCGCCGCAUUAGCUAGUUGGUAAGGUAACGGCUUACCAAGGCAACGAUGCGUAGCCGACCUGAGAGGGUGAUCGGCCACACUGGAACUGAGACACGGUCCAGACUCCGACGGGAGGCAGCAGUAGGGAAUCUUCCGCAAUGGGCGAAAGCCUGACGGAGCAACGCCGCGUGAGUGAUGAAGGUCUUCGGAUCGUAAAACUCUGUUAUUAGGGAAGAACAAAUGUGUAAGUAACUAUGCACGUCUUGACGGUACCUAAUCAGAAAGCCACGGCUAACUACGUG